CCCUUAGAUGUCCGGGGCCGCACGCGCGCUACACUGAAGGAAUCAGCGUGGCUUUCUCCCUGACCCGAAAGGGUUGGGAAACCCGUUGAAUCUCCUUCGUGAUAGGGAUUGGGGCUUGAAAUUGUUCCCCAUGAACGAGGAAUUCCCAGUAAGCGCGAGUCAUAAGCUCGCGUUGAUUACGUCCCUGCCCAUUGUACACACCGCCCGUCGCUACUACCGAUUGAACGGUUUAGUGAGGGCCUCGGAUUGGUCUCGGCCCGCUCUUUACCGGGCGGCGCCGUUGGUCGAGAAGACGCUCGAACUUGAUCGUUUAGAGGAAGUAAAAGUCGUAACA
rnacentral:rRNA from 1 species